rnacentral:rRNA from 1 species
UACGUAGGGGGCAAGCGUUGUCCGGAUUUAUUGGGCGUAAAGAGCGUGUAGGCGGCCAGGUAGGUCAGCUGUGAAAACUCGAGGCUCAACCUCGAGACGCCGGUUGAAACCAUCUGGCUAGAGUCCGGAAGAGGAGAGUGGAAUUCCUGGUGUAGCGGUGAAAUGCGCAGAUAUCAGGAAGAACACCCGUGGCUAAAGGCGGCUCUCUAGUACGGUACUGACGCUGAGACGCGAAAGCGUGGGGAGCAAACAGG